UACGAAGGGGGGCUAGCGUUGCUCGGAAUGACUGGGCGUAAAGGGCGCGUAGGCGGUUUGUACAGUCAGAUGUGAAAUUCCUGGGCUCAACCUGGGGGCUGCAUUUGAUACGUAUGGACUGGAGUGAGGAAGAGGGUCGUGGAAUUCCCAGUGUAGAGGUGAAAUUCGUAGAUAUUGGGAAGAACACCGGGUGGCGAAGGCGGCGCCUGGUCCUUUACUGACGCUGAGGCGCGAAAGCGUGGGGAGCAAACAGG
rnacentral:rRNA from 1 species